ensembl:lncRNA
CCCCUGUUCUGAGUGCUCGCCCACGUGUCCCGUCCCGGUCCCCGCUCCAGAAAGAUAAGUCCUUCUCAGAGAGAGUGCCUGUUAGAAUGCCGAGGAAGAAGGGACAGCCGGAACUUCAGGUCGCCGUGACAGGAUUUUUCAUGUACAAUAAUCUGCUACUUUUGUUGCAUAAGCCAAAGGAAUGACUACCAGGUCUUAAGGAGAGUGAGACAUAAAGUAUCCGGGGUCACUGAAUUCCUGAAGCAUUCUUAUACACCCAGUGAUUCUCAGGUCUAAGAAAAAGACCCAGCAACGAGAAAUACAUCGUAACAACACAUGAUGGAUCUAGGUGGUUGCCAAGUCAUGGUGAUUCUACAUUUGUCCCCUCAGAAGUUCAGGGGUGUGUGUAUAGCAAUGGAAAUGAAGAUUUGCUACUUGCGUGGCCCUGGAACCUGAUUUGGCAGUUCCCCAUGUCCUGUGAAAGCUGUGAAGGCUUUGAGGAGCUAUGGAUCCUGGACAUUGAAGUCUGAGUCUUUUCCCUCUUCUUAUUGGAACAACACUGGAUUCUUGAUUCCUAUUUUAAUUUAGAGAAGAAGAGAGGCUGGACUUGGACCAGUCUCUGUGAGGCAGCCAGGAAUGGAUAGGGGUGAUAUUGACUUAGGACCAAUGUUAUGCAUUGAUGUGUACAGGAUAUAUAUUAUGCUGUGCAAUGGGGUGACUAUGUAGUGGGAAAGUAUUAUGUAGGAGGAAUUAGCAAAGCUUAAUCUGAGUCCUAACUCUGCCACAAAUUGUAUGAUCUCAGGCAAGUCACUUUACUUUGUAAUUUUCUUAUAUGUAUAAUGAGGUAGUUAAAUUAAGGUCUUUUCUAGUUUCUACCAGUUAUGACUCUCUAGAAGUGUGUCUCUGGGCCAAUCACAUUUUUAGAAAUCAUCUUCUAUUUUAAUUGAACUAAAGUAGUUUUUAUUUAUAAGAACUGUGUUGUAAAUCCCUUUGCAAAGUGAAAAAUCCAUCUCUAAAGAGGACUUACUCAUC